CUCAGGACCUUACCCCCUUGCGCCCUGGGGCUCUGAGGGAGGACCUGCUGCCUGCUUCUGCCCCAGCGUCUGGUGGUGCCGGCGUGCUUGGUGCCUGGAUCUUGUGGCUGCACAGCUCUGCUCUCUUGCCUCCCUUACCACACGGCCUCUUUCCCGUGUCUGUGGCCCCUCUUUUCUUAUGAGGGCUCACCCCCCUCCAGUGUGUCCUCAUCCUAACUACGUACUUCUGGGAAGACCCUCUCUGCAAAUGAGGUCACAUUCUGAGGUUCCAGGUGGACGUGGAUCUGAGGGGACGCUGUCCGACCCAGAACGGAAUAACCCAAGUCACCUUUCCUGGAAAUCAGUUUGCUGAAACUAUUGAAACAGCAGUUCUUGAAGAAAAGGAGAUUCUGCACCCUGACCAGAGGAGCGUGACCCUUCCUUCAAAUCCCUCUCC